CACAUGGACCAGUCGUAUGUCUGGUGCUGCAGGAACUCACCAUCUUGUCCGUGAAGCUCAUGGAUUCCCUGGAACACCAGAGCAGUUAAAGGAGGAAUGUGACGCUGUCAUUCUGAUUCACAUCUCUAUAAUGUUUGAGGUGACCCUAGUCCGUCCACACUGAGCUGUAACCUGAUAGGUUCACCUGAGAAAAGAUCCACUCUCUAUUGGCUGAUCAGAUUACAGAACGAGUGUCGGCCGAGUGAGGUUGAAUUAUUGAUGAAGGCGAGUCUCUCUUCUCUCAAACGGCGGCAGAGGAACGACAAGAACGAAAGAACAGAGAAGAAAGAAGGAGAAAAAGAACAGCAGAGGUUGAAAAAAAC